ACUGGCAACAUAUCAUUCGAGUUAGCUCGAUAUUUCAGCAGGAAAUCGUCGACAUACGAGUCUCGCUUAUUAACGCAAUACAAAUUCAAAAUUAUUCAUUCAACUCGGGAUGACAUACAUCACUAAUUGACGUAAGCACCGACACUGCCAGCUGGCUCCAGCUGCCAGGAGACAAUGGUCUGCGGGCGUACCUGGCGAGGUAUCUCCUCCAGGCAUGGGCCGCGGCCGGGGUCCAGGUCCAGGAGGCCAUGAGCGCGCCGGCCGCGAAGCAGCAGAACAGCCGCACUUGCAGCACGGACACUGAUGGCCGCACGCCGCUGGGACACUCCUUGCUGGGCUCCUUCAACGCUUCUAGGCGACAGCUAUGAAAAAAAUAUUCCUAAUUAUAGGUACAUUAAAAUUCACCAAAACCGUGACUAAAUUCAA